CAGGCACCUUCGGUGUCCGAGUUGUAAUCUCAAGAAAUGUUAUGCGCGCUGGACCGCACACAAGUCUGUUGGAAUACAGCUGCAUAGUGGUGAGACCCCCGUAUAUGGUGCGGACGCCCAGCGCUUUGUGAUCCAUUUUCGAAGAGUCGAGUUGUUCGGGAUUGCAGCUCAAAUAGGGUGGUAAAUUCCAUCUUAAGCAAAAAUUAGGCGGGGGACCGAUAGCGAACAAGUACCGUGAGGGAAAGAUGAAAAGCACUUUGGAAAGAGAGUUAACAGUACGUGAAAUUGUAGGAAGGGAAACGCUCGAAGUCAGACUUGCUUGCCGAGCAAUCGGUUUGCAGGCCAGCAUCAAUUUUCCGGGUUGGAUAAUGGUAGCGAGAAGGUAGCAGUUUUGGUUGUGUUAUCACUCUCUGCUGGAUACAUCUUGGGGGACUGAGGAACGCAGUGUGC
rnacentral:rRNA from 1 species